AAGAAUCUCCUCUGAAUCUCCUCUACACGCACUCUCUCUCUUGAUUCCUGCGAAGGACUUGAGUGAUUCCAAGUUAUUGGAGUGAAAACGGCGGCGGCGGCGGCGGCGGCGGGAGGGACGGUGGUGCCGCGGCGGAUGACAUUCGUGACGGGAAAUGCGCGGAAGCUCGAAGAGGUCAAGGCAAUUCUGGGGGAAUUCCAUUCCUUUCAAGUCUCUCGAGCUCGACCGUCCGUACCCAUUUCGAAUCUUCCGCCAAAAUCCCGUCUGUCUUCCUCGUUUUCGAUUAAAAUCUUAUAGCGUUCUCUUUUGGGUGUUCUUGUUUCGGUGUGCCUGAGUUGCAAGGUGAACCUGAGGAUAUCUCCCCAAAGAGAAGGCUCGUUUGGCCGCUCUUCAGGUAAACGGGCCGGUGCUAGUGGAGGAUACAUGCCUCUGUUUCAAAUUCAAUGCCCUGAAAGAUCUUCCCUGGGCCAUACAUGUUAGCUUUUGUUCCUUUCCUCCUCCUUUGUCUUGAUGCCGUCUUUGUAAGUCGUAAUUGCCACUCUUUUUUAUGUACAUGCCGCAAUAAGAGACAAAACGAUGCAUUCGUAGAGAAUGGGAUCACGAGCCAUGCAUUGGUAAUAUAAUCGUUGAAGCUUUACUGGCUUCCUUAGAUAUUUUUUUUUAGAAAUUUUUGAAACUGGCUUGGAACACUCUGGUUCUUGAUUUUCUUUUGGUGGCUGGUAACGAGUGUGAGUAAUGAGUAUAGUCAGUCCAUUGAUGACCUGGUGAACUAUCUUACUACAUUCGUUCUAAUCCUAGAUGUUCCCAUUGAUCGCAGUACCGGAUUGCGAAGAAACAUUAUUUUCCUGGGAUCUCGCUAGAGCUCAUACUUGACACUUCUGAUGUUUUUUUGUGUUUUUGCAUAAAAGGGUUUCUGGAGAAGCUUGGUCUCUUUCUCCUUCAUGUUUCACCUCGUUCUUUCAUCUGAUUCAUCCUUUUUUUUUUCCGGAAAAUAAUCGUAUGUGUGUUUUUGCUUGAAUGCCCAGGUCUGAACGACUUACUGAUGGCGUAUAGAGAUAAAUCAGCUUAUGCUUUGUGUGCAUUUUCAUUCUCACUAGGGUCAGGUGCGGAACCUCUCACGUUUUUCGAGGAAAACUUCGGCAUGUUGCACGUUAUCAUCAAACUCUCGAAACCAUCUGUUGCAUAAGUUACACAUUGAACUUAUACGACCAUUUCCAUGCCAAGGCAGAUCUUUUUCAUGAUGUUUUUGUUAUGGUGGUGUUGUCAAGAAAAAAAUGUUUCAGGGUAAGAUAGUUACUGCAAGAGGGCCAAAUGAUUUCGGGUGGGGAUCCCUUCGACCCGGUGGCUAUGACAAAACGUCUGACUCUGUCCACUCCCGAGAGACACGUUGUGCUAAUCCCGGGCUAUCACAGUAGCAUUUCUGGUUCAUUUGGGUUGCAGAUAUGCAGAAAUGGCAAAGGAAGAAAAAGAACAAGAUAUCUCAUGGGUACAGGGCCGUUGAAAUAACACUUUGCUGAGGCUGGACAUGUUUUGUUUUGCAGACAGAUGAUGAUGCUGCCUUGUAAGAUGGAAAAGCAUUUGUCUUACACUUUGAUUUCGUUGUAAAUGGUGGUUGUUAUUUAUAUAAGCUAAUCUAAUAUUUUUGUUUUCUGCCA